GAUUAACGCUAGCGGCAGGCCUAAUACAUGCAAGUCGAACGGGAUUCAAAGUAGCAAUAUUUUGAUGAGAGUGGCGCACGGGUGAGUAACACGUAUGCAAUUUACCUUUAACUGGGGGAUAGCCCUCCGAAAGGAGGAUUAAUACCGCAUAAUAUAUUGAAAUGGCAUCAUUUUAAUAUUAAACCUACGGGGGUUAAAGAUGAGCAUGCAUCCGAUUAGCUAGUUGGUGUGGUAACGGCUCACCAAGGCAACGAUCGGUAGGGGGUCUGAGAGGAUGAUCCCCCCANACUGGUACUGAGACACGGACCAGACUCCUACGGGAGGCAGCAGUAAGGAAUAUUGGACAAUGGAGGCAACUCUGAUCCAGCCAUGCCGCGUGAAGGAUUAAGGCCCUAUGGGUUGUAAACUUCUUUUAGACGGACAAAACCCCUUUACGUGUAAAGGGUUGAUGGUACUGUCAGAAUAAGCAUCGGCUAACUUCGUG
rnacentral:rRNA from 1 species